rnacentral:rRNA from 1 species
UUUCGCAAUGCCCGAAAGGGUGACGAUGCGACGCCGCGUGGAGGAUGAAGGCCUUCGGGUUGUAAACUCCUGUCAGGGCAAAAGAAGGGGAGGGGAGGAAACUCCCUGACCUUGACUCAGCCCAAAGGAAGCCCCGGCUAACUCCGUGCCAGCAGCAGCGGUAAGACGGAGAGGGCGAGCGUUGUUCGGAAUUACUGGGCGUAAAGAGCGCGUAGGCGGGUCCGUAUGUCAGGGGUGAAAGCCCCCGGCCCAACCGGGGAAUUGCCUCUGAAACUGCGGUCCUCGAGUGGAGCAGGGGGGAGUGGAACUCUCGGUGGAGCGGUGAAAUGCGUUGAUAUCGAGGGGAACGUCGGCGGCGAAGGCGACUCCCUAUGCUUCUACUGACGCUGAGGCGCGAAAGCCAGGGGAGCGAACGGGAUUAGAUACCCCGGUAGUCCUGGCCUUAAACGGUGGGCACUAAGUAGAGGGGUUAAUCUC